ensembl:lncRNA
CGGGAAGAGCGGUGUGUGUAUAUAUAAAAAAAUAAUAAAAAAAUUCCUAUUGGUUAGGGUUAGGCAUUCGUUUUGAAUGAGUUCAACAGGUCAGAACAUAUUUCACAGCAGCAUAAACAAUCAAUAAACCUUAAAACUAGUACCAAUGUUUGCAACGUUUUAUUAAAAAUAAACAAAUAAACAGAAAUAAAAAUAAAUAAACAGCAAUAUAUGAACAAGCAAUAUUUAAACAGAAGUUACAGACUUCAAAGUCUCGUAAAUGGAAGGAAAAGUCAAAGCUUCACAGAUCAGAGAGGACAGAUCUGUAGCUCUGUAGCUGCUUGGAGAAGAUUUCUCUUUGGUUUCAUAAAAUCUACCACAAAGCUUACUCAGUAAUAGCUGCUAAACGGAUCCUGAACAUUAUUAGGCAGAUUAUUAAUAACCAGAUUAUGACACAGUGUUUCUGUACUUGGUUGAGUGUCUGUAAUUAUCUGUGACUGUGGAUCUCUGCAUUGGUUUGUUUGUUAUGAAAGGUUUCCAAUAACUUUCAGUCCAGUCCAGUUUACACAGGGAAUCUUGUUUGUGUUCUUUAGGACACUUAACAUUGACUGAUGAAUUAUUCAACCAUAAAAAAAUAAUAUAACAAAAACAAUCCUUACUCAAGGGAGGAACCAGUUCUGUGCCUAUGGAUAACAGACAACUUAGGCACUUUGUUACCAGCAGCCAGUCACAAAAUUGCAUAUUUAAUCAAUUUCUUUAAUUAAAUAUAUAAUAAUUAUCAAAAAUGACACUUUGUCAGUGCAUAAAAUAUUAUUUAUGCAACAACAAUGUGAUUGUAAAUAAGGUAUCAGCUAAAAACUCAUCUCGUUAAGGGCUGCAGUCGAGGCUUUGUCAUGGUUUGAAGUUGCAUUUCAGUGGUGUUGGAGAACUUGUUAGAGGUGAUGUAAUUAUGAACACAGAAAAGUAUCAAUAGAUUUUGAUCCCCGUCAGAUACAUUUUUCAGCAUGACAAUGAUCCCCAAAACAUUGACAGUGCAGUAAAAUCAUACCAGGAAAUAAUGCAGUUGAAAAGUAUUAGUCAAGGAUUUGCUUUGAUAACACGAAAUAUAGACUCUCAGCUUGUUAGAACGUUUUUGCAUAAACCCUGUAUAUUCACACGUUUGCACGUUUUAAUAAAAGUCUGCAACUAACUCCAAAUUUCCAAGCAAAAUAUAAAAACAGUGGUGGAGAUGCUGUGCAGUACUUUUCUACUACUAUUGCUGCAAAGUAUUAUUAUUUACAAAAUACUGAAGGCCAAAUAUAUUCACACACUUAGUAAAAGAGUGUAGGCUUUAACAUUUUCAACAUAUAAUAUAUAUCAUCUUGUGCUAUUGACCUACUGAAUAAAAAAACAAAACAAACAAAGUCAUCACUUACAGUUCAGUCUAAGUGAUAUUAAAGAAUGUGUUUGGUUUUAUAAAUCCCUGCCAGUCUCAGGCUGACAGAUCAGCAGGUCCUGGUUCUCAACCUGCUAUUUUUUAAAAAACAAAUUGGAUGUUGGGCAGUUUAACUCCAUUUUACCAUAAUGAUGCUUCUCUUACCAAACAUCAUCAUAAAAACUAAAGACAUUUCAAAUAUGCUGCAAUUACUCAGGCGGCUAGUAUGGACCCUGACUCUGCGGUUUAUGUUUUCUGUAGAUUAAAAAUCCAACAACAGCAGAAACAAGAAGCACAGCAGAAACUGGCAGACCAACUUUCAGUCCAACAGAUCCAUCCUCCUUCCCUCCAUCCUCCUUCCCUCCAUCCUCCUUCCCUCCAUCCUCCUUCCCUCCAUCCUGUUUGUCUCCUCCUGUCUGACCUGCAGGUGAGAAACAGGUGUGAGGUGUCAGCUGUCAGGUAGGUGAUGAGUGAAGAACAGAACAGAAUCCAUUUCCUCUUCAAACUGCUGUCAGACAUUAUCUACUGCACUCUGAUCACAUCACUCAGACCAGCUGCUUUCUACAAAGUCUCAUCAACAACAUCUUUAGAAACAAACAUCAACAACCAGGAAGCAGCUUCACCUCUGAUCACACACAUGUCAGACAGUGGAAAAUUGUGUUUUUAUAUUUUGUUUUGGAUCAGACUGUGUUGGUACAUAGUGU